rnacentral:ncRNA from 1 species
GUAUAAGCUGUGAUGGAAACGAGUAGUUGAAGGCAAUGUCUUUAGCGAGUCAGGGAAAGUGAGAGCCUGACGAAAACCCUUCCUCGAAAAUCCUUCCGGAGCUGCAAUCUGAACAGGGUUGAAAAAACCAGUAAGAAAGCCGGAUUUGCCAACCGUUAGCAUGGCGCAGGAUUCUCAAAAUAGAGGUUCUUGGUGAGUGCUCACCAAAUGGUGAGAAUGUGGGUGGUACCACGGGUAAUGUUGCUCGUCCCUUCU